rnacentral:rRNA from 1 species
UGGGGAAUAUUUCACAAUGGGCGCAAGCCUGAUGCAGCCAUGCCGCGUGUAUGAAGAAGGCCUUCGGGUUGUAAAGUACUUUCAGCGGGGAGGAAGGGAGUAAAGUUAAUACCUUUGCUCAUUGACGUUACCCGCAGAAGAAGCACCGGCUAACUCCGUGCCAGCAGCCGCGGUAAUACGGAGGGUGCAAGCGUUAAUCGGAAUUACUGGGCGUAAAGCGCACGCAGGCGGUUUGUUAAGUCAGAUGUGAAAUCCCCGGGCUCAACCUGGGAACUGCAUCUGAUACUGGCAAGCUUGAGUCUCGUAGAGGGGGGUAGAAUUCCAGGUGUAGCGGUGAAAUGCGUAGAGAUCUGGAGGAAUACCGGUGGCGAAGGCGGCCCCCUGGACAAAGACUGACGCUCAGGUGCGAAAGCGUGGGGAGCAAACAGG